AAUAUGGCGGGAAAAGGCUGACUUGGACUAUUACCUUAUAUUUGCAUUGGUAUUAUUUGGGUCUCAAAUCAAAAGAAAGAAAAUCAAGAAUCUGCUUAAAUUUUGUCAAUUGACCUUUUAUGAGCUACCAAGUCUUAUGUUAAAAGAUAAAUAGGUGUUAUGGGGCAAAAUAUUUUACCUUGUAUCGUAUGGAAAAACACCAAGGAGUCCGAACAUUUGACACUUAUUUCAA
rnacentral:lncRNA from 1 species